AGAGGGUGCGAGCGUUGUCCGGAAUCACUGGGCGUAAAGGGCGCGUAGGCGGUCUUGUAAGUCGGGGGUGAAAUGCUGCGGCUCAACCGCAGCGCUGCCUUCGAGACUGCAAGACUGGAGCACGGUAGAGGCGGAUGGAAUUCCCGGUGUAGCGGUGGAAUGCGUAGAGAUCGGGAAGAACACCAAUGGCGAAGGCAGUCCGCUGGGCCGUUGCUGACGCUGAGGCGCGACAGCGUGGGGAGCAAACAGGAUUAGAUACCCUGGUAGUCCACGCCGUAAACGAUGGGCACUAGGCGUCGGGGGGAGCGACCCUCCCGGUGCCGUCGCUAACGCAGUAAGUGCCCCGCCUGGGGAGUACGGCCGCAAGGUUG
rnacentral:rRNA from 1 species